AUUGAACGCUGGCGGCAGGCCUAACACAUGCAAGUCGAGCGGAUGAAGGUAGCUUGCUACCUGAUUCAGCGGCGGACGGGUGAGUAAUGCCUAGGAAUCUGCCUGGUAGUGGGGGACAACGUUUCGAAAGGAACGCUAAUACCGCAUACGUCCUACGGGAGAAAGUGGGGGAUCUUCGGACCUCACGCUAUCAGAUGAGCCUAGGUACGAUUAGCUAGUUGGUGAGGUAAAGGCUCACCAAGGCGACGAUCGUUAACUGGUCUGAGAGGAUGAUCAGUCACACUGGAACUGAGACACGGUCCAGACUCCUACGGGAGGCAGCAGUGGGGAAUAUUGGACAAUGGGGGGAACCCUGAUCCAGCCAUGCCGCGUGUGAAGAAGGCCUUUUGGUUGUAAAGCACUUUAAGUGGGGAGGAGGCUUACCUGGUUAAUACCUGGGCUAAGUGGACGUUACCCACAGAAUAAGCACCGGCUAACUCUGUGCCAGCAGCCGCCGUAA
rnacentral:rRNA from 1 species